GCAUUCGUGCCCGAGUGGUUUAAGGGGUAUGACUCAAGUUCAUAUAGUCGCAUGGCUGCGUGGGUUCGAAUCCCACCGAAUGCA